rnacentral:rRNA from 1 species
GGGUCAGUAGGUUGGUCGUGCCACCGGUACGUACUGGUCUCACUGAUUCCUCCUUCCUGAAGAACCGUAAUGCCAUUAAUUUGGUGUUGCGGGGAAACAGGACUGUUACUUUGAAAAAAUUAGAGUGUUUAAAGCAAGCUAACGCUUGAAUACAUUAGCAUGGAACAAUGAAAUAGGACGAUCGAUCCUAUUUUGUUGGUUUCUAGGAUUGACGUA